AGUUAAUGAGCUUGAAACAAGCGUAUGUUUUGAAAACAUAAGAUAAAAAUUAAAUAAUUUUUAUUAGCUU
rnacentral:tRNA from 1 species